UUUGAAUUUUCAUUAUAAGAAGGGGUGGGGGAAUAAUUUUAGGAGUGGAGUAAAAUUCCCUUGCAAGAAUCCUAAAGUACUUUCCUCUCUCAAUUCCAAUUCUUCCCAACCGCCACCAAAGCAGCCUACAUCUUCGCCAUCACUUACUGCUUCAUGAGCCCCGAGCUCGCGAGCCAACACGCUACCACUACCCCACCAGACCCUUCUCCCUCGUCUCCGGCAAACGAAGAAAUGAACCAGAGCUCUAAGCUCCAACCAGCUUCCACCCUUCUCCCGUCUCUAUCUCCGAUGAGGCACCACCAACCAGUAGUUAGACACAAUCAAUAAACGAAACCAUCACAAACCCCGAUCAAAAUAACAUCAGCAACUCGCACAACCAGCGACCAACCGCGCACCAGUUCUCUUCCCAUCCCAUUUACGAUUUUGUUCAUGUUUCAGGUGUUCAAGCUCAAACUCUGAAGCUCUGUCUCCAGCGAACAGCAGCCAACGCAUCAUCGCUACUCCCGUGUCCUUGUCGCACCAGAUCUGACCAUUGAUUGGUCUCCAAGAUGUCAACAGAAAAGUUGUGGCUCCAAACUCCUAUCCAGAUUCUCUCGAUCCAGUCGAACUUACUUUGAUGUAAGAUGGAGUUGAAGUCACGAACAACAGGCUAUGCGGCGUCGCUGUCUACCCGUGCCUGUUACACCACAAAACAACCAGAUGGGUCAGGUACCCAACCCAGAGUUGCUUCCUGAAGAAACUAUUCGAAUAAAGUUCAAAUAAUACUUUUGAUUCAUCACUAUGUAUAUUAUCGACAUUAGACAAAUAUUAGUUCGUUUCUUAUAUUAUUAUUUUAUUUUAUUUU